rnacentral:rRNA from 1 species
GAUGAACGCUGGCGGCGUGCCUAAUACAUGCAAGUCGAGCGAACAGACGAGGAGCUUGCUCCUCUGACGUUAGCGGCGGACGGGUGAGUAACACGUGGAUAACCUACCUAUAAGACUGGGAUAACUUCGGGAAACCGGAGCUAAUACCGGAUAAUAUAUUGAACCGCAUGGUUCAAUAGUGAAAGACGGUUUUGCUGUCACUUAUAGAUGGAUCCGCGCCGCAUUAGCUAGUUGGUAGGGUAACGGCUUACCAAGGCGACGAUGCGUAGCCGACCUGAGAGGGUGAUCGGCCACACUGGAACUGAGACACGGUCCAGACUCCUACGGGAGGCAGCAGUAGGGAAUCUUCCGCAAUGGGCGAAAGCCUGACGGAGCAACGCCGUGUGAGUGAUGAAGGUCUUCGGAUCGUAAAACUCUGUUAUUAGGGAAGAACAAAUGUGUAAGUAACUAUGCACGUCUUGACGGUACCUAAUCAGAAAGCCACGGCUAACUACGUG